rnacentral:rRNA from 1 species
AUGAACGCUAGCUACAGGCUUAACACAUGCAAGUCGAGGGGCAGCAUGGUCUUAGCUUGCUAAGGCCGAUGGCGACCGGCGCACGGGUGAGUAACACGUAUCCAACCUGCCGUCUACUCUUGGACAGCCUUCUGAAAGGAAGAUUAAUACAAGAUGGCAUCAUGAGUCCGCAUGUUCACAUGAUUAAAGGUAUUCCGGUAGACGAUGGGGAUGCGUUCCAUUAGAUAGUAGGCGGGGUAACGGCCCACCUAGUCUUCGAUGGAUAGGGGUUCUGAGAGGAAGGUCCCCCACAUUGGAACUGAGACACGGUCCAAACUCCUACGGGAGGCAGCAGUGAGGAAUAUUGGUCAAUGGGCGAGAGCCUGAGCCAGCCAAGUAGCGUGAAGGAUGACUGCCCUAUGGGUUGUAAACUUCUUUUAUAAAGGAAUAAAGUCGGGUAUGCAUACCCGUUUGCAUGUACUUUAUGAAUAAGGAUCGGCUAACUCCGUGCCAGCAGCCGCGGUAAUACGGAGGAUCCGAGCGUUAUCCGGAUUUAUUGGGUUUAAAGGGAGCGUAGAUGGAUGUUUAAGUCAGUUGUGAAAGUUUGCGGCUCAACCGUAAAAUUGCAGUUGAUACUGGAUAUCUUGAGUGCAGUUGAGGCAGGCGGAAUUCGUGGUGUAGCGGUGAAAUGCUUAGAUAUCACGAAGAACUCCGAUUGCGAAGGCAGCCUGCUAAGCUGCAACUGACAUUGAGGCUCGAAAGUGUGGGUAUCAAACAGGAUUAGAUACCCUGGUAGUCCACACGGUAAACGAUGAAUACUCGCUGUUUGCGAUAUACUGCAAGCGGCCAAGCGAAAGCGUUAAGUAUUCCACCUGGGGAGUACGCCGGCAACGGUGAAACUCAAAGGAAUUGACGGGGGCCCGCACAAGCGGAGGAACAUGUGGUUUAAUUCGAUGAUACGCGAGGAACCUUACCCGGGCUUAAAUUGCAGAUGAAUUACGGUGAAAGCCGUAAGCCGCAAGGCAUCUGUGAAGGUGCUGCAUGGUUGUCGUCAGCUCGUGCCGUGAGGUGUCGGCUUAAGUGCCAUAACGAGCGCAACCCUUGUUGUCAGUUACUAACAGGUUCCGCUGAGGACUCUGACAAGACUGCCAUCGUAAGAUGUGAGGAAGGUGGGGAUGACGUCAAAUCAGCACGGCCCUUACGUCCGGGGCUACACACGUGUUACAAUGGGGGGUACAGAGGGCCGCUACCACGCGAGUGGAUGCCAAUCCCCAAAACCUCUCUCAGUUCGGACUGGAGUCUGCAACCCGACUCCACGAAGCUGGAUUCGCUAGUAAUCGCGCAUCAGCCACGGCGCGGUGAAUACGUUCCCGGGCCUUGUACACACCGCCCGUCAAGCCAUGGGAGCCGGGGGUACCUGAAGUGCGUAACCGCGAGGAGCGCCCUAGGGUAAAACUGGUGACUGGGGCU